AUGAGUAUAGGUUAAUGGUAAACUAAAUGUCUUCCACACAUUGUAUGUGAGUUCGAUUCUCACUACUCAUA
rnacentral:tRNA from 1 species